CGAGCUGCUAAGUGCGUCAGUUGUGGAGAGACGUAGAGGAGUUGAGUUCGUGUGUGUAGGGAGGCAGACAGCUCCGACGCAGACUACGGACCUCUCCAGGUCUCAGCCGUCAAAGACCCUGUCCGGAAACACUAGCCGGGGAUCAUGAGUGGCUGUCGAGUGUUCAUUGGGAGACUAAAUCCCGCAGCGAGGGAGAAAGAUGUGGAAAGAUUCUUCAAGGGUUACGGACGGAUCAGAGAUAUUGAUUUGAAAAGAGGUUUUGGUUUUGUGGAAUUUGAGGACCCAAGGGAUGCAGAUGACGCUGUUUAUGAACUUGAUGGGAAGGAACUUUGCAGUGAAAGGGUUACUAUUGAACAUGCUCGGGCUCGGUCUCGAGGUGGAAGAGGUAGAGGACGAUACUCCGACCGUUUUAGCAGUCGCAGACCUCGAAAUGAUAGACGAAAUGCUCCACCUGUAAGAACAGAAAAUCGACUUAUAGUUGAGAAUUUAUCCUCAAGAGUCAGCUGGCAGCCUAUCUGUGUCGUUGGCCUUAUGACGAGGAGUGCCUGUGGGUUAUCCUAAUCGUUGUCUUGGUCACUCUUGGUUGGGCCUGGUUGACUUUGCCAGUCAGCUCCUACAGUGAUCAGUUGGCCACCUCUAGAUCUGUGUUUGCCGGUCUAGACGUAAUCGGUGCACUUACUUGAAGUGCCGGGUUGCAGCGAUCCCAGAACGUUGAUAACGUGAUCUGAUCCCUAAGUUGAGAGCUGUCUUCCUGUAACGCUUCCGAAUAAGAGGUCCUGGUCGAAAGAGUUGAAAGAUACGAAAUUAGUUGGUCGUUGGAAUCCUGAUCGCAGUAAAGUGGUCCUUGGUAACUGCACACGAGUAAAACAUGUCUGCAUCGCCAGUAGUCUGCUAAUAGGGAGGGCUGUGCGAUUAAAGGCUUCCAUCGAUUGGGUAGUAUCCUUCAAGUGGGUGGCGAAGAGCCAGUCGGGCCUAUGUCAUGAAGGUUUCUCCGACCGCUUAAUGGUUUGCUGCUUGACUAGCCUAGGGAAAUGUUAAUAAAGGUAAAGUAAAUUUUUUUAAUGACAUAUGGGGCACAAAAUAACUGGUGUCUUUGUAAAUGUUGUUUUACUUUUUUUUUUGUUUUUGUUUUUUUUAAAUAUAAGACUAGUCUUU
rnacentral:lncRNA from 1 species